CCUGCCUCGAUUAUAAAAACUGAUCUUAUGGAGAACAUUUUCUUGCAGACCGAAUCAGUUGAGAGGCACAGACACUACAGAAUAUACAAGUAUGAAGCAGAUGAAGUAAAUAUGGAAGACUAAAAAGGCGAAUAAGACCUAUUUGUCCAGUUGGCUGAUCCACAAAGCGCAGAGAGAUAAUGGGAAACGAGGACGACUGAAUUAAUGAUAGACAUCAGUACAAAAAUCAACUCGUACUUGUAGGAAAUACACGUGCUACACUCACAAAUCCUUGGCGUCUCUCCUGAUGACGUAUUUCAUACUUGGUCAAGGGAAAGGAAUGCUGUUCAAGAAAUCGGACGGACGGUCGGAGGGACGGACAGUUUAAUCAACGUAGGGUUCUAGCAGAGCCAGGCUUUAUAAUUACCCAAAUCCACAAAACGUCUAAAUCUCAGAUCCGGAAGUGACGUCAUCAUCAAAUAUCAAGGUUCAAAUAUUUAUCUAUCAUUUUCGAAAGCUUCAAGAAAAUUGACCGAGCCGUGCAAAAUUUGUUUUUACAAGGUGUGUUGGUAUUAAAGUGCGUUGUAACACAUGGGUCUUUCCGAUGUAACUUUGUCUCGUGUCACAGUACAGCGUCAUCAAGAAAAUUAACUUGCUACCUCCUUGGGCACCAUGCAUCAGUCAAUAUUCAUAAACACACGCCCGGGAUUUAGAUGAGAGAAUCACGGGUCUUUCGAUUAUGACCUUAAAUCAUGGUCUCAUACCUCGACAGGCGUUGGCACGUUAGGGAAGCCUAACUGCUGUGGCACUCAACUUCACCUACAACUGGUGAUGUCUCAAUGUGAAAAUUAUUUUGGGAAGUCAUAACCCGUGUAGGAAUUUCAACGAUUUCAAAAAGAAUUAUUUCCAAAAAGAAUUCCCCCCCCCCCCCAUGAAUGUUUUUAAAGAUAAAUUUCUCAUGUGUUAUGUAAGAGUCAAGAUUGACAAAAUUAGGAACAUGAAGUCUACAUAAUGAUACCUUUGAAUUUUCUCUACCAGAUGACACCUUUGAAUUUUCUCUACAUAAUGGCACCUUUGAAUUUUCUCUACAUAAUAACACCUUUGAAUUUUCUCUACCAGAUGAUACCUUUGAAUUUUCUCUACAUAAUGGCACCUUUGAAUUUUCUCUACCAGAUGACACCUUUGAAUUUUCUCUACCAGAUGACACCUUUGAAUUUCCUGUAAAGGGAUGACCUAUAUUAAGACUUGGAAUUUACCAGAUUUAUUUGGUAACAUGUUUAAGUGAAGUACAGAAUACAAAAAUAGACUACGAGUAUAAUUGUACAGUAUGUAUCAAAUGCACGAGAAACAUUGUCAUGCAGAUACAAAAACGCAUGUAUAUUUCAACCGUUUAGAAUAUUAAGCUUGAUCUGCAACACAUUCAAAUUCUCUUAUUUUGUUUUAUAAAACAUAUAUUAAAACAAAACUACUAAUUUAUCUUCCUCUUGAUUCAAACUUUACCAAAGAUCUAACAUUGCAUACAAGCUUCAACAGAAAUGACAGUCAUACCAGAAUUAUAAGUGUUCUGUGGCGCUAACAAUCAUCAUAACCAUGCUAUUACAAGAUGUUAAAAAAAGUUAUCAGAAAAACACCAAGA